rnacentral:tRNA from 1 species
GGAUGGCUCAAGUGGUAGAGCGUAUGCUUAGCAUGCGAAAAGUCCUGGGUUCAAGCCCCAGUACAUCCA